rnacentral:rRNA from 5 species
UGUACACACCGCCCGUCACACCAUGGGAGUGGGCUGCACCAGAAGUAGAUAGCUUAACCUUCGGGAGGGCGUUUACCACGGUGUGGUUCAUGACUGGGGUGAAGUCGUAACAAGGUAGCCCUAGGGGAACCUGGGGCUGGAUCACCUCCUUACUGA